UAGACGUGGAUAGUCGAAGAGGUUGAGG
rnacentral:sRNA from 1 species